AAUUCGGAGACAGGUGCUGCAUGGCUGUCGUCAGCUCGUGUCGUGAGAUGUUGGGUUAAGUCCCGCAACGAGCGCAACCCUUGCUUUAAUUGCCAUCAUUCAUUGGGCACUUUAAGAGACUGCCGGUGUCAAACCGGAGGAAAGGUGGGGGAUGACGUCAAGUCCUCAUGGCCUUUAUGCCCAGGGCUACACACGUGCUACAAUGGGCGGUACAAAGAGCAGCUAACUCGCGAGAGUAUGCAAAUACUCAAAAAACCGUCCUCAGUUCGGAUUGGAGUCUGCAACUCGACUCCAUGAAGUCGGAAUCGCUAGUAAUCGUGGAUCAGAAUGCCCACGGUCCGAAUACGUUCCGGCCUU
rnacentral:rRNA from 1 species